AAGGCCAUGGGGUGUAGGGCAUAGUUGCAAGCCCCACUCGCUGUCACUGUCUUCUCUUAAAUUGUGGGCUUUUGAAGGCUAGUCCUCUCUUCUGGGCCCUGGAAACUGAGGUGCUGUGCAGUAUAAUUCCUAAUAUGAAUUUCAAGUCAAGGGAAAACAACCUAGCUGCUGCUCUCCAAAGCCCCUCUGAGUCAAAGAAACAGCCUGAUGCUGAUGGAUGGUGACUUGCAUGGCCUGACCCCCGCCCAUGGUCCAGCUUUCCUCCAGCUGAGGGAAACUCUCAGCUCCAAUUGGAAGCAUUGGUAUAGUCUCUGGUUCGGUUGUUAAUUCAUAAUUAAAAUUCCUAGUUGCUCAGU